AAUUAAAUAAGUUUUUUUUGUAUGACUGUAUUAUUCUAUUAUUAAUUGUCAAAUAAUUGAGGAAUUAUGAAAAGUUAAUUUUGAGUCAACUUACAAAUAAUGUAACUUAGUAAGAACUUGACGUAUUAAUUGCUUAACGUGUAUAAAAUGAACGAGAUUUUAAAUGUCAUGUCAGUUGAAGUAUAGAUUCAUUUUACUAAAGGGAAAAAAGUGAAAUCAAUUGAUGUUGUGUUUACUUGCUGGAGUGGGAGUGAGAAGUGUGGAUUCCUCUCACUCCAGCGUUUACUUCCUCUAAAUAGGAAGGGAGUGGGAAUCCCACCCCGUGGGCCCCACCCAUUUUUGGAGUGGGGAGUGGGAGUGGGACUCUCAUUGAGGGAGGUGGGAGUGGGAAUCCACUCCCACCUCUCCCUUUUUUAUCCUU
rnacentral:lncRNA from 1 species